UAGAGUUUGAUCCUGGCUCAGAACGAACGCUGGCGGCGUGGAUUAGGCAUGCAAGUCGAACGGUAGAUUUUGAAAUUGAGGCUUCGGCCGAUGUUUCUUUAUUUAGAGUGGCGAAAGGGUGAGUAACAUGUGGGUAACCUGCCUUAAGGAUUGGGAUAACCUGUCGAAAGAUAGGCUAAUACCAAAUAAGACUACGAGCACUCCGGUGCUAGUAGUAAAACAAGGGCCUCUCCUUGGAAGCUUUUGCCUUAAGAUGGGCCCGCAACGUAUUAGCUUGUUGGUGGGGUAAUGGCCUACCAAGGCUACGAUGCGUAGCUGGUCUGAGAGGAUGAUCAGCCACACUGGGACUGAGACACUGCCCAGACACCUACGGGUGGCUGCAGUCGAGAAUCUUUCGCAAUGGGGGAAACCCUGACGAAGCGACGCCGCGUGAGCGAUGAAGGUCUUCGGAUUGUAAAGCUCUGUCACAAGGGACGAAACGCAUAGUUGAGAAUACCUAUUAUGCUUGACGGUACCUUGAGAGGAAGCCCCGGCUAACUCCGUGCCAGCAGCCGCGGUAAUA
rnacentral:rRNA from 1 species